UACAGAGGGUGCAAGCGUUAAUCGGAAUUACUGGGCGUAAAGCGUGCGUAGACGGUUAUGUAAGUCAGAUGUGAAAGCCCCGGGCUCAACCUGGGAAUUGCAUUUGAGACUGCAUAGCUAGGGUGCGGAAGAGGGAAGCGGAAUUUCCGGUGUAGCGGUGAAAUGCGUAGAUAUCUGGAGGAACACCGGUGGCGAAGGCGGCAUCCUGGACCGGUAUUGACGCUGAGGCGCGAAAGCCAGGGGAGCAAAGCGGG
rnacentral:rRNA from 1 species